rnacentral:sRNA from 2 species
UGACCCAGAUACCCCGUAUUCUUACCCCUGAGUUAUCUGCCUACCUACCUACCUAUCUACUUCAAUGAAUGAUAUUCACUGACGAUAUAUAUAUUCUAUUGAUGAGUUCCAACGGCGUUGAUGCUCAGCAUUUGCCAUGGUUAGGAAAUUUGAUGUUCAAUAUCUAAAACCCGUAGGGGUAAGAAUAUGGGGCGAAACGCUUCUAUUCAGUUCGUUUACCUUCGUUCUGGCCUUAAAAUUUAAGGAAUGAUCGCCACGAACAAAAAAAUAUAGUCUUUAGUUAUUCUACCGAAAGUAAAAUGCCUCGUUAAGAUAUUCUUUGCCACGCUUCAAUUUGCUUUUUUUGUUCAAUCAUUAGAGCAAUCAACAGAUCGGUUCGAGAACAUGUAGAAGAAUAAAAAAUAAAUCUAUAUACAGACUAGAGAAUUGCUUGAGAAUCUCCAGGAAGUAAAACAACAGGAAACCAGGAAGCAAAACCAAAACAAAAAGGGAAUAAAAUAAAAUAGAUAAAACCAAACGAGAAAAUGGGGUAGACUGGAGCGCGAAGAGAAAUUUCUUGUCUCAGAGGGAGUGGCAAUAUGUAGGACAGAGGGAUCUGCCAGAUGAUGCGAGAGAGAGAGAGACAGAGUCAAAGUGGGCGGAAACGGGGAAAUCGGAUAUCAUUCGGGAGAACCUUUCUGACUGAAAGGGCAAUUCGUCUCCAUUUCCAAAUCCGUGGUAUAUUUCGAGAAAUGACGACAGAGGGAUGAAGGGGCGGUAGAUAAUAGCGGCUGUAUGAUAACAUUGAGCUGCUAUAACUGAGGACGAGAGGCGAAAUGGAAGAAAGAGAACAGAGAAUGAUCAAAGCGCUGAAAUCCACAAUGAGAAAGAGAUGUUGGUACUGUACAGACAUAAUCAGCUGACAAACGACGGAUACUGCAGUAUGUACCUUGCUAUUGGGC